rnacentral:misc_RNA from 1 species
GUUUUAUUUUUUAAAAUUAUAAUGCAUAAAUAGUUUUCAGGUUUCACUAGCGGGCAAUUGGAAUCGACGUAAGGGCAUUUUUUUGCGUUUAUUAGAUUUUCAGAAAUGUUUUGUUAAAAGAGAUACAAUUAUUCAAAGUGGGGAUGAAAUUUAAAUUAUUUAUUUAUUUUCCUGAGAGAACUAGAAAAGGGCAAAUUCAAAAUCUUAUGUAGAAGUAAAGGGCAGAUCAAUAUCUAUA